rnacentral:tRNA from 1 species
GCCCCCAUAGCUCAGUGGAUAGAGCGACAGCCUCCGGAGCUGUAGACAGGCGUUCGACUCGCCUUGGGGGUA